UGACCUCGGAUCAGACGUGAUUACCCGCUGAACUUAAGCAUAUCACUAAGCGGAGGAAAAGAAACUAACAAGGAUUCCCCUAGUAACGGCGAGUGAACAGGGAAAAGCCCAGCACCGAAGCCUGUGGCCAUUUGGUUACUAGGCAAUGUGGUGUUUAGGUCAUUCCGCAGAGGUUCUGCUCCACCCCAAGUCCAGCAAUGAGUACGGUAGUACAGACAUGGCCCACAGAGGGUGAAAGGCCCGUGGGGGUGGAGAUUCGGCAGGCCAGAGCCUCUCUGGGUAGACCUUGGAGUCGGGUUGUUUGAGAAUGCAGCCCAAAGUGGGUGGUAAACUCCAUCCAAGGCUAAAUACUAGCACGAGUCCGAUAGCGAACAAGUACCGUGAGGGAAAGUUGAAAAGUACUUUGAAGAGAGAGUAAACAGUGCGUGAAACCGCUCAGAGGUAAACGGGUGGAGUUGAACUGCAAGCUCUGAGAAUUCAGCUGAUGAGUGUGGUUUGAGCUUGGUCAAAUUGGUUGGACUGCGGGGUCUGCGUAGCAGCAGGUCUUUGCCUUCGGGUAGAGAUGCGCGUUGCACUUGUCAAGUGCUGUGCGCCCCGUUUGUUCUUCGGCCUGCUUGUCAGUGCACUUUCUCAGAGUAGUCACCACGACCGGCACUGCCGUUGGGCUGCUUUGGUUAAACCGUUCUCGCAUCGCCUUCGUGGCUUUGCUUGAUCGGGAUGGCAGGUAGCUCGUUGACUUGUUUGUGGCUUGCUGCAAACGUCCGGUCUUCGAGUGUAAUCAGCUGACCUUAGUGGUUCUGUGCGGUGUGUCGGAGACGGCGGCUUGUGGUGUGUGCAUGCGUGCCUAUCCUAUGGACCUGUCCGAGUUUGGUUGUUAUGUUGCCUGUUCAAGCAGGCCUAAUGAUGGCUCGGAUUUGUUCUGUGGGUGGUUGCGUGUGUGACACUAAACCAAGGGCCAACAGUCUGUGGUGUAGUGGUAGACGAUCCACCUGACCCGUCUUGAAACACGGACCAAGGAGAGUAACAUGUACGCGAGUCAUUGGGCGUUACGAAACCCAAAGGCGCAGUGAAAGUGAAGGUCUGACUCGUUCAGACUGAGGUGAGAUCCUGUCGUUUCCCACGCGCGGUACUACCAAGCAUCGAGCGGCAGGCGCAUCACCGGCCCGUCCCAUGGCAGUUGUUUUCGGACAGUUUUCAGUCGGGGCGGAGCAUGAGCGUACAUGUUGAGACCCGAAAGAUGGUGAACUAUGCUUGCGCAGGUUGAAGCCAGAGGAAACUCUGGUGGAGGACCGCAGCGAUUCUGACGUGCAAAUCGAUCGUCAAACGUGAGUAUAGGGGCGAAAGACUAAUCGAACCAUCUAGUAGCUGGUUCCCUCCGAAGUUUCCCUCAGGAUAGCUGGCGUUCAGAGAAAUAAACAGUUUUAUCCGGUAAAGCGAAUGAUUAGAGGCCUUGGGGGCGAAACGUCCUCAACCUAUUCUCAAACUUUAAAUGGGUGAGAAGCCUAACUCGCCUAAACGGAGUUGGGCGUUGAAUGUGAGUGCCAAGUGGGCCAUUUUUGGUAAGCAGAACUGGCGCUGUGGGAUGAACCAAACGUUCGGUUAAGGUGCCUAACGCGACGCUCAUCAGAUACCACAAAAGGUGUUGGUUGGUAUUGACAGCAGGACGGUGGCCAUGGAAGUCGGAAUCCGCUAAGGAGUGUGUAACAACUCACCUGCCGAAUCAACCAGCCCUGAAAAUGGAUGGCGCUGGAGCGUCGGACCUAUACCGGACCGUCACUGCAAGCUGAGUCGGUAAUGUUUGGUGUGGGAUCAAUCCACAUGACUCAGGCACGGAGUAGUGGUGACGAGUAGGAGGGUCACCGUGGUGAGCGGGAAGCUUCGGGCGUGAGCCUGAGUGGAGCCGCCACGGGUGCAGAUCUUGGUGGUAGUAGCAAAUAUUCAAGUGAGAACCUUGAAGGCCGAGGUGGAGAAGGGUUCCAUGGGAACAGCAGUUGGCCAUGGGUCAGGCGGUCCUAAGUGAUCCGGUAACUCGGUGCAGAGACGGGGUGCCUGACAUUGUCAGGAUUGCUGCUAAAGUACUGUUGCACGGCAGCCCCCUGUAGCGAAAGGGAAUCGGGUUAAUAUUCCCGACCCUGCCCACGGAGAUUGGUGUAUUCUGGUCUUGUACCGGUUUGCAUCUAGCGCGGUAACGCAACCGACCUCGGAGACGUCGGCAAGAGUUCUGGGAAGAGUUCUCUUUUCUUUAUUAGGAGUGCACCAUCCCCUGGAAUCGGGUUGUCCGGAGAUAGGGGACUAGCCUCCGUAAAGCACCACCCCUCUUGUGGUGUCCGGAACACUCUUGUCGGCCCUUGAAAAUCCGAGCAAGGCAAUAUAAUUUUCGUGGCAGGCCGUACCCAUAUCCGCAUCAGGUCUCCAAGGUGAACAGCCUCUGGCAAUUGAACAAUGUAGGUAAGGGAAGUCGGCAAAUUGGAUCCGUAACUUCGGGAAAAGGAUUGGCUCU
rnacentral:rRNA from 1 species